rnacentral:rRNA from 1 species
UACGUAGGGUGCAAGCGUUGUCCGGAAUUAUUGGGCGUAAAGAGCUCGUAGGCGGCUUGUUGCGUCGGAUGUGAAAGCCCGGGGCUUAACUCCGGGUCUGCAUUCGAUACGGGCAGGCUGGAGUGCGGUAGGGGAGAUCGGAAUUCCUGGUGUAGCGGUGAAAUGCGCAGAUAUCAGGAGGAACACCGGUGGCGAAGGCGGAUCUCUGGAACGCAACUGACGCUGAGACGCGAAAGCGUGGGGAGCAAACAGG